CCCUUAGAUGUUCUGGGCCGCACGCGUGCUACACUGAGUGGAUCAGCGGGUCAGGUUGCGCGAAAGUGUUUCCUAAUCUUGAAAUCCGCUCGUGAUGGGGAUUGACGGUUGCAAUUUUCCGUCAUGAACGAGGAAUACCUUGUAAGCGCGGGUCAUCAUCCCGCGCUGAAUACGUCCCUGCCCUUUGUACACACCGCCCGUCGCUCCUACCGAUUGAGUGGUCCAGUGAGGCUUUGGGAUCUGAGCGGAAAGAGCGUUUCGCUGUUUCUGCUCGGAAAACUCAGUCGAACCUUAUCAUUUAGAGGAAGGAGAAGUCGUAACA
rnacentral:rRNA from 1 species